CCUAGGGGAACCUACCCCUGCACUGUCCAUCACUGAAGGGAUACUAGCAGUAUCUUUCAUGCUGCAUAACAUGCACCACUGUCACAGUUUUUGUAGAACCACACGGGGCACUCUAUUCAGGUCAGCUGAACAGAAUAAACAUCUAGCAAAUCGUCAGCGUGUUCCAGCUGACACCUAUCAAGUUGGCCAGAAAGUCUGGCUCUAAUACAAGUGAAGCCAUUCCGGAGGAGCUCCUUGUUUCUGUUCACAUUUCUGUUCACAGGAAUAACUGAGGUCAGGAUGUUGAUGCCAAGGCGUGAAAAGCUGUUCACAGAGCUACACAGAGGAUUUGCUGCUGUGCCUGGGAUCAUUGUUCUCUCUGCGUUACAUUUGACUCUUGAAUACUUUAGUAUACAGAGAAGUUCAUGGUUUAAGGUGCCCAGGUCUUAUGGCUGGAAAACAACUUCAAAUCACUAACCAUCCACUACUGGAAUGACAGUUGGUAUGAGGUCUUUGUGCUGAUAUGCUGUGUUGGUUUUUCACAAAGCUGGGCACUGUGUAUUAUGGUCAAAUAUCUGCCUUAUCCAGAGAAAUGCAUGAGUUCUCCACCACUGACAGCCACUUAUAAGUCUGCACCACACAGCUGUCUACCAUACAAGGGGAGGAGAAGUGUUGCACACUUAAAUAAAACCUUUGUGGCUUAAUGUGUCAGCCUUUGGUGUACAAUCUGCAAAUAUACAGACACAGUCCAUCGUCACAGUGGACUGAAAUAUUUCAAACUCAACAAAUACAUCUUACAGUAGAAUAAAUGAAAUCAAGAUUAAAAGAUGAUUACAAACAUAAUGAGGAUUACCAUACAUAAUACUGUAUUACACGUUUUGUAACCAGUCUCUUAACUCUUGCUAGGCCCACUACAUUACAAUGAGUGGCCCACUGUGUUUAGCCCUUGUAGACUGCUCAUUU